UACAGAGGGGGCAAGCGUUGUUCGGAAUUACUGGGCGUAAAGGGCGCGUAGGUGGCCUUCUAAGUUGAACGUGAAAUCCCUGGGCUCAACCCAGGAACUGAGUCCAAGACUGGGAGGCUUGAAUCCGGGAGAGGGAUGCGGAAUUCCAGGUGUAGCGGUGAAAUGCGUAGAUAUCUGGAGGAACACCGGUGGCGAAGGCGGCAUCCUGGACCGGUAUUGACACUGAGGCGCGAAAGCCAGGGGAGCAAACGGG
rnacentral:rRNA from 1 species